UACGAAGGGGGCUAGCGUUGUCCGGAAUCAUUGGGCGUAAAGCGCGUGUAGGCGGCCCGGUAAGUCCGCUGUGAAAGUCGGGGGCUCAACCCUCGAAUGCCGGUGGAUACUGUCGGGCUAGAGUACGGAAGAGGCGAGUGGAAUUCCUGGUGUAGCGGUGAAAUGCGCAGAUAUCAGGAGGAACACCAAUUGCGAAGGCAGCUCGCUGGGACGUCACUGACGCUGAGACGCGAAAGCGUGGGGAGCAAACAGG
rnacentral:rRNA from 1 species